AGGACAAACAGGGGGAGAGCAUAUUUCAAAAGGAAUUUAUUCAAACAAGCAACCGAAGACUUUUCUGCUGCCAUCCACUCAGACCCCAACAACUGGCUAGCCCUGUACUACCGAGCCUGCUUAUUUAGAAAGUGUAGCCCUCAAAGAGCGCUGCAGGACUACAGUGUGUCAGAAUUAAAGUUUUGGAUGCUGGCAGUUUGUGAUUUUGAAACUGUCGUUACUCUCGAAAGAACUGCUACUUUGGCUUACAUAAAUAUUGGCCUUAUAUAUCUACAACACCUGGAUAAUUAUACCGAAGCCUUUUGGUGGUUUACUGAGGCAAUUAGAGUCGAUCCUUUAUAUAUUCAAAGCUAUAUUUGUAGAGCAGAAACCUAUUCUAAGCUGCAUAAACUGAAAAAAGCAGUAACUGAAUUAUCUCGGGCUAUCCAUCUCCAGCCUGAUGCAAUCCACCUAUACAUAAUAAGGCCUAUGAAUCUUUUACAAAAGCUGUGAGAGCAAAUCCUGAUUUUGCAGAAGCCUUUUAUCAUCGGGGACUUUGUAAAGUAAAACUCAACAAGCAACACUCAAUUCUGGACUUCAAUCGGGCACUUACCCUAAAUCCCGAACAUUACCAGGCAUAUUUAAGUCGAGUAGCUUAUUAUGGUUUAAAGGGCAGAUA
rnacentral:lncRNA from 1 species